UACGUAGGGGGCAAGCGUUGUCCGGAAUCACUGGGCGUAAAGCGCGCGCAGGCGGUCAUCUACGUCUGGGGUGAAAGCCCGGAGCUCAACUCCGGGAUUGCCUUGGAUACGGGAUGACUUGAGGAUCGGAGAGGCAAGGGGAAUUCCACGUGUAGCGGUGAAAUGCGCAGAUAUCAGGAGGAACACCGGUGGCGAAGGCGGGUCUCUGGGCCGAAAUUGACGCUGAGGAGCGAAAGCGUGGGGAGCAAACAGG
rnacentral:rRNA from 1 species